GAAAGCUGCCCCUCCCCGGCAGGCAGGACCACCCAAAAUGCAGAGGCUUUAGGGGCUGCAGGGCCUUGGGCUAAAGGGGCCUUGGCCUGCAGCUCUAAAGUCCCUUUCGUAAUGUAGUCAUGCGAGCAUGGGCCGGAGGACUCAGGAGGAGCAGGGGCAGCUGUGCAGCCAGUGGCCUGAGAGAAGCGGUGCUUUCCCCUUCAAAGCCAGCUGGAGAGAAUCUCAGAAUUGUGGCUGCCAGAAUCACGGCCACGGGAGUGGGGCCACGCUGCACAGAGCCACCUGCACACCCCUUGCAUCAAACAGGAGCUGCCCCAGCCCGAUCGUCUAGCACUUAUUGCUUGGAAGGGGUGCGAUCACUUGUACACAGAUCCGCCGCGUAACAUCUACUGCCUGGUGCCUAUGGGACAAGCCUGCAGAGUUACUACAGCGAUUAUCGACCCCUCUCCCGGACGCAGAGCUACAGCCUCCUCCAGCGGUCUCCAUGGCCUCCUCCCAACAGCCGCGGCGGGGCGAAGGGAGACGCGACAGUGUAACAGGGCAAAGCCCCGCUCAGGUGUCCGGGCCCCUACCCAGCCUGGGGAAGGGAGGCAGGGCCUGCGGGAGCCCCAUAGCGCGGGGGUGUUGGGCAGGCCGGGGGGUGCGGACCUGAAGGCGUCUCUGCCCUAUUUUCCUGGGCACAAAGGCAGACUCCCGGGGCCUGCCGCGGAAGGCCGGGCGCGCAGGCAGCCCUCAGCGAACAGAAGGCGCACCGGCCCCAAGCUAGGAGGGGAAGGACUGUUCCGCCCCGGGAGCCGCCCGAAGCCCCUGGGAGCCGGCCUCGCCCUCACCUUGAAGGGGUUGUUGAGGUCCGGGUCCGCGAAGGGGUUACUGUCGAAGUCCGACAUGGCGGGGGCGGGCGGGCGCUGUGAUCACCGGGCGGCGGCGGCUCCACUCCAGCGCCCCACAAUCUACCCCCGAACCGGUAUCACAAGCAGAUCCGGCCUAGGUCCCGCCCCUUGCCCGAGCAGCCAGCCAGCGAGAUCCAAAAUGGCUGCUCUGGAAGUGAGGUCUUCGGCGAGGCAAUACCAUCUGUACGCCUGGAAAGGGGACGCUACAUACAGCGCUGCAUCCUCUCACUGAGUGCAGUCGUUAGCUUGACUAAAUGUUCAGAGCUGCUAAUAACCUACAGCAGGAUGAAACUAGCACUGGAUGAAAAAAUAGUGAUCUGUGCUUUGCUGAUGAUAUUGACUUAAUUAGAUCAUUGUAAGAAGAGAUGCAAAAAUUGCUAGAAAGAGUAGUAGUUGGAGCAGAGAAGUUAGGGCUAAAGAUAUCGCCUGAGAAGACAAUUGUGACAUAUGAGGCUGUUGAUAAAGCAAAGAUAAUCCUACCCAAAUCUAGAGGCGGUAUGAUGAGCUCUCCACAUAUUUGGGUAGUAUUACUACAAAGGACAGUAAACAGAGAGAUCUGGGACAUGUACCUCAAAAGCAGCACCCUGGAACCUCCCUAUUCACCACUGUCAUAUAAUUAUGUUUUUUUACAAGGCUUGUCUUGUGAGGUAUCAUUUUAAAAGUCUUGAUCUGUUGAACAAUAAUAUCCUGCUGAAUUGUAUGUACUAUCAUUGUAUGUGAAGUUAUGAAGUUUUACUCUGUGUGUGUCUGUCUUUGAAAUAUUUUGUGAGGCUGGAAACACCCACACCCAGCCUUUCAGGUAUAACAAUGGAGUAGCCAGACAGCAUUAAUGGCUCAUCAACACCUAUCAAGAAAAGAAUCCACCAUCCUAGAGAUCUAUUGGACGAGGUAUGGGGGCAGACUAACCACCUCACAGCAAAUAUCUUUCCAGCAAGCUGAAAGAAAGUAUAAAAGAGGUCAUAUGACAUCAUCACUUGGCCUCUCUCCCCCUCCAACUCAACAUCUGGAGGAAUAUCAGGAGAACAAAUACUUUGAACUGAGAAACUUUUAUCUACAAUUUGACUGCCAGUUGGAGCCAUCACUUAUCAGAAUAACUUUACACUGGAUCAGGAUUGAGGUUCAAAUUGGGGGAAUGAGGAAGCACCAAUGCAAUUAUAGGU